rnacentral:rRNA from 1 species
GAUGAACGCUGGCGGCGUGCCUAACACAUGCAAGUCGAGCGGGAAUCUGUUGAUUGAGACUUCGGUGGAUUGAUGCAGAGGAUAGCGGCGGACGGGUGAGUAACGCGUAGGUAACCUGCCCCUUACACAGGGAUAGCCUCGGGAAACUGGGAUUAAUACCUGAUAAUGCGAUGGAGUCACAUGGCUUUAUCGCCAAAGAUUUAUCGGUGAGGGAUGGACCUGCGUCUGAUUAGCUGGUUGGUGAGGUAACGGCCCACCAAGGCAACGAUCAGUAGCCGACCUGAGAGGGUAAUCGGCCACAUUGGAACUGAGACACGGUCCAAACUCC